rnacentral:rRNA from 1 species
AGGAGCUGUCCUUAGUACGAGAGGACCGGGAUGGACAUACCUCUGGUGUACCAGUUGUCGUGCCAACGGCAUAGCUGGGUAGCUAUGUAUGGACGGGAUAAGUGCUGAAAGCAUCUAAGCAUGAAGCCCCCCUCAAGAUGAGAUUUCCCAACUUCGGUUAUAAGAUCCCUCGAAGAUGACGAGGUUAAUAGGUUCGAGGUGGAAGCGUGGAGACACGUGGAGCUGACGAAUACUAAUCGAUCGAAGACUUAAUCAA